rnacentral:lncRNA from 1 species
CUGACAUUUAGUAGCCCGAUGAGACCUCCCAAGAUUCUGACCACUAUUUCUCUGCUGCCUUCUUCCAAAUCAUUCCAUCAUAUAUGAAGCUGGAGGGGGACAUCGCUAAAGACAGCGAAAGGUUUGUUUUCAUUUGUGCUCAUCCUGCACAUUUAUUACGGUGAUUAAACAAAAAGUAAAAUCUAUUUGACUCAAAACAAAACUGAAUAUUUUCAUGUUUUUCAAAUUAAAAUGAAAAGACCCAAUUUCUCGAUCACGGCCUUUCAGCACUUCGGGGGACGAAGAUUUUAAGGCUGUGUGGAUCCACCAGUCAAAAAUCCAAAAAAUUACCAAAGGGGCUCAUGCAAAAUUAGCCUUCCGGUGCCCCUUUUGGGAACAUUCGGCAGUUUUUGACAAGAAUGACGUCACCUGACUUAUUCAUGCCAAAAUUAAAACUUAGAUAUUAUUUGGAUAUUUUUGCAAAGAGGAUGUUGGACCCGAUGAGGGUUACCUACGUAUCUCACGCCCUGUGCGAAUCAAACCUCCGUAGUUCGGGAAAAUUAACCAAACAAUUUUAAAACAUAAUUCUUUUCAUUUUCAUUUUUGGCAUUUGAAAUUUAAAAAAAAACUACUUUUAAAAAACAAGACUCUUUUUUCUUUUCUUUUUCAACAAACAAUAAACAACCUAUUUUUUCAAAACUAAAAAAACUCUUUUUCUUUUCCUUUUUCAACAAUCACGAAAACAACCUAUUUUUUUCCAUUGGAAACCAAAAAUCGAGACUCUUUUUUUUUCAUUUCCCAUGACAAAACAAACUAUUUUUUCUUUUUUAUUUUUGAAAAAAAAGACAAACUAAAAUAAAAGACUCUUUUUCACUUCUUUUUUUUUUUUUUUUGCUUUUCUGGGUAAAACAAACAAUUUAAACAUAAAAUAUUUUAUUUUCUAUUUUUCAAAAUUUUGGCAGAGUUUCGACAUUAUUUGGGCAUUGGUUUUUUCUCUCCCUAUACUGAUAUUUCUCUCUUUUUCUCUUUUUCUCAAUUUUUCAAUAUUUCCGAGAUUCAGAAGGCGGUCAACAUGCAGGUCUGAAACAAAUAAAUGCACAGAAAACACGUAGGAUGCAUUAGGAUGGUCUUUUUUCAUUUCAGGUUGCUUCUCCUAGACGGACCCAACACAUGUGUUGAGUCCCCUAAGUUAAAAUGCACAUGAUGCAGAUAAGCGUUCCUACGAGGGAUCCAGCAUGAAGUUGUAUUAUUCUAGGUCAUAACUUGGGUGUUUGUUCUAGAUCUGGCUCACCCGAGCGGACAGCUCGAGCCGGGGGGGAGGUAGCGUACUGGGAAUACUGAAGCUUCAUCGGCUUUGCAACUUAUCUAAAUCUAGUUCUAAAUUGGAAAUUAAACACUAUACAGAAAAUAAGUCACACGAAGUGUACCCUUAUUCAUGAUUUAGAAGACUCAGAGAGGAGAUGGGUUUGGGCACAGUUUAUAUACAGUUCACAUAAUAUCAAAGCAGUAAAAGCAGUCAAUUAGCACAGAUCAUGUAACAAAAUCAGAUAACGCCAAACACAACAAUUAUUCUAAACUCGAAUUCUGAACCCUAAACAAAACGUUCUGGGUUCUUUUCCCCAGCAGAGUCGCCAGAGCUGUCACACCUCCUUUUUUACUGCACCCGCAAAGGCGUAAAGGAGUUUUUCCAAUUAAAGAACAAUCUGAAUGGGAUUUACUUCUUAAAGUUUGAAGUCUCCACUUGGUAUAUUAAUGGUGUCCCAAGUCACCGGUUUAGAAUCCCGAACCAAGGAACAUAUGACUCUGUUAACAGUCCGCGAAUCAGAAAUCCAAGUAAGGAAUUGUGUUAACUCGGGAGAAGGUGUUAGGCAUUCCCGAGUUCCAUGGUUCUAGCACGGUCGCUCAACUGUCGUAUUAAGCUUAUUUAUCUGAUUUUAUUACAUGAAGAACUUAUGUGCCAAUUUUUACUUUUUACCGCUUUUUUCGAUUUGUAUUUUUAAAAAAAAGGUUGAAGGUCAAUUAAAGCGUGCCUUCGGACUGCGUCACAUAAAAUGCACCUACAGUACUAAGCACAGUAUAUUCAACAUUUUGGGAUUUGAUUUAAGUCGUAUGAAAUGCACACCCGUAUUUAAGAAUGUAAUCUAUUAAAAUCGUGCCUAAAGAGUCUAACUCGUUAUUAUUUUGGGGAAGUCUGUGAAAUUCGCUAGACGGCCCAUCCCGAAUUUAUAAGUAUUUUUAGUUCAAACAUGUAUUGAGGCCCCCCCAAUUUGUAGUUUUAUUUGGCGAGACUCGUCUCAUUUUGUUUUAAAGCCGACCUAAAAGCAACUAUAAUUAUUUACUUAAUUGUCUUUAAAAUAAAACGAAAAGGCCCUAAUUAAAUUGUUAUAGAAAAGCUUCAGUCUGUUGUGCACAUAUUAACCAAUCAUGUGUUAUUUUAGACUUGGGCUCAAAAGCACAAUCUGCAUGGAGCAUUCACGUUGAAUUAAAAAUAUCAACCACAGCAGGAAAUGGGGCUGAAGCAAGCCCAAUUUGGAUGGGGCAGAACAAGCCUCGUAUGUGAGGCCCAGGGAUCGAAUCCCUGACUUGGCAAAUCACAACCUCAACAUAUUAUUUCAGCUGAAUCCAAAUCAAACACCCACUGAACUAGUACCUUAUUUUACUCAAAUGAAAGAGUCAUGGUUUGAGGCUGAAAUUGUUUUAACUAUUAACUACUGAUUUAUUUUAAAAUACUACUGAAAGUGAAAAGUCAGUAAAAAUACAACCUAAAUUUUUAAUGAAGAUUCACCAUUUUAUUAAUGAACUCAGUGAACCCUAAAUGCUAAAAACAAUAACUAAACUUGUUUAAAACUAUAUUAAGGCUAUAAGCAUGCUUAAUCAACCCAAUACAGUCUAGUUCGAAUUUAAUAGGAAUUCAAAAUAUAAUAUUCUAAUAAAAUGAACUAACACAAGUCAAAGCAAACUACUAAUCACAAGAUCCGCAUAGGAAAACCUUUAAUGAUUUAACAGUCCAUGUACUUAAGCAAUCCACACUUAAUACAGUCUAUGAACAAACUAACACAUUACAGAAUUCUAUCUAAACAUGAUCAAGCCACUAAAAUCGCAAGACGACAGUAGAAGUUCAGUUUCGAUUUCAUUUCAGGAGAUUUACAUAGUAAUGAGUUUGACGGCAAGUACCUGGAAUUUGAAAAAAUAAGAAGGAGAGUGAGGUCAAGCAAAUGAUGACAAACAGCAACGAUUCAGAGAUGAUUCAACAGCCCAAAACUGAACCCUAAACUCCAGGAAUAAUCACGAACCAAAUAGAAAAAUGGAGAUUGCCCACAGAACACUUGAACGCACCCAAAUCAACUCAAAAUUGAACUCAAGUACUUCUAAAUGCUUCAAUAAACCCAAAACUCAGCAUGAAACUAUGAGAUGUGAAGAAAACUAACUAGAAAUCAGUGUUAGAUCUACAACUUCUCAAUGAAACUGUAAAUAUUUUGUGAUUUUUAGUUUUUGUUUGUUUUAGGAUUUUGAAAUUUUCAGUGGCUACUUCAGAUCUAGAAAGGUAAGGAGAGGGAAUUUUUGGGGAGGCUAUA